rnacentral:rRNA from 1 species
UACGUAGGCAGCAAGCGUUGUUCGGAAUUACUGGGCGUAAAGAGUGUGUAGGCGGUGUUCUAAGUUCGGUGUGAAAUCUCCUGGCUUAACUGGGAGGGUGCGCCGGAAACUGGAAGGCUCGAGCGUGGGAGAGGAAAGCGGAAUUCCUGGUGUAGCGGUGAAAUGCGUAGAUAUCAGGAGGAACACCUGUGGUGUAGACGGCUUUCUGGACCAUAGCUGACGCUGAGACACGAAAGCGUGGGUAGCAAACAGG